GCAAGAUCAUUGCUUAUUUUAAAAUAGUUAUUUUAGUACAGGAUUUUCGUGAAUCGCAAGAGGACCCCAGGGAACUUAGCUAAGAACAGACAGGAGAUGAAACACCUAUUGCUGACCGCUGCUCUGUUGAGUGUCGUUGCCUCACAAGUAAUGGGAGAGGGCACUUUAAACAAACAUUCAUCAAGUGAUCCAGUGCCCCAAAUAAAGACGAAAAUAUGCGGAAUGCAAGGACAAUGCUGCAAUAACUAUCCAUGCUGUUGGCAGUUCGUUUGCAAAUACAACGAAAACGCUAAAGUCAAUAUGUGUGACAGAAAGAAAAAAAAAAAAGAAGACUUCGAAUGAUGUUCUAAAGCAAUGUCAGUGUUCCUUCAACUACAAAGUCGUUGAUCCUUUAUUUUAUCUGUUAUGAAAUAAAGAGAAC